UACGUAGGGCGCAAGCGUUGUCCGGAGUUAUUGGGCGUAAAGAGCUCGUAGGUGGCUUGUCACGUCGGGUGUGAAAGCUUGGGGCUUAACUCCAGGUCUGCAUUCGAUACGGGCUGGCUAGAGGUAGGUAGGGGAGAACGGAAUUCCUGGUGUAGCGGUGAAAUGCGCAGAUAUCAGGAGGAACACCGGUGGCGAAGGCGGUUCUCUGGGCCUUACCUGACGCUGAGGAGCGAAAGCGUGGGGAGCGAACAGG
rnacentral:rRNA from 1 species